rnacentral:rRNA from 1 species
AGACCCGAAACCCGGUGAUCUAGCCAUGGGCAGGUUGAAGGUUGGGUAACACUAACUGGAGGACCGAACCGACUAAUGUUGAAAAAUUAGCGGAUGACCUGUGGCUGGGGGUGAAAGGCCAAUCAAACCGGGAGAUAGCUGGUUCUCCCCGAAAGCUAUUUAGGUAGCGCCUCGUGAAUUCAUCUCCGGGGGUAGAGCACUGUUUCGGCUAGGGGGCCAUCCCGGCUUACCAACCCGAUGCAAACUGCGAAUACCGGAGAAUGUUAUCACGGGAGACACACGGCGGGUGCUAACGUCCGUCGUGAAGAGGGAAACAACCCAGACCGCCAGCUAAGGUCCCAAAGUCAUGGUUAAGUGGGAAACGAUGUGGGAAGGCCCAGACAGCCAGGAUGUUGGCUUAGAAGCAGCCAUCAUUUAAAGAAAGCGUAAUAGCUCACUGGUCGAGUCGGCCUGCGCGGAAGAUGUAACGGGGCUAAACCAUGCACCGAAGCUGCGGCAGCGACGCUGAUGCGUUGUUGGGUAGGGGAGCGUUCUGUAAGCCUGUGAAGGUGGCCUGUGA